UUCAAGCUGAGUUGUGGGAUUUGUGUCAUCAUUAAUCUCCAGAGUUUGGAAGCCCCUCAAACUGUGUGCAGAGACGGUAGAAUGUUGUGAACUAGGUCUUGGAAGGAGAGCUUGUUAGGGUGCCGCCUCUGGCAAUGGAAACUGCAUAUCCACCCAUGACCAAAAAGCAAAUGAUAUAUUACUGUAAUACAGCCUGGCCCCAGUAUUCCCUAGAUCAGAAGAGAUGGUCUGAACAUGGGUCACUUACUGCAACUCUCCAAUUGGACUUUUUUGCAAGAAACCUGGUAAAUGGGAAGAAAUACCCUAUAUGCAAUGUUUUAUGGCCCUCUAUCAAAACCCUGCCCUGCAAAUGAAAUGCAGAAUAUGUAAAUUGGCCAAAGGGAACUAUAUUGCCAAUUCUAGAAGCCUCUGGAGAGGAAGCAUCAGUCAUGUGGGGGCCUAUAGGGAAGGGAACAAGUAAGAAGAGUCCCUUUACUACCCCCUCCAAGAGAAGUGAGGCCCUCUAACUCUACUCGGGGACUGGAACCUUGGCCAAUACAGGGGCAUAGUCCACCUUCUUGGAAAUGGUACCCUCUGCACCUCCAGGGAAAAGCAAGGGCCCGUUCUGUAUUUGCCAGGCCCUCCAAACUCUGCAGAGCCAGCUGUGGCUCCUGCUAUGGCAAUAGCAGGCCCCUGUUGUACUCUUCUUUGCCAGGGAGCACCACUCAUAGUGGGAACGCAUAUAACCCUGGAGGGUGACUGUUACCACUCAGAGCAUGCCUGUUGGAGAAAGAGGUUUUGCUCGGGUCUAUGUGUUUUUUAAAACUGUUGACUUGUAUAACUGGAAAUCCCAUAGUAAGGGCUUAUGGGUGAGCCCAGGAGAGUUCGUAACUCUCAUAUGGAGAAUAUUCUCCACACAUAACCCUACCUGGCCAGGUGUGCAGACCGUAACAGCAACCCUGCUCACAGCAGAAGAUAAAUCUGCCACCAUGGCCAAAACUAAGGAGGAGGCAGACAAUAUGUGUGCUGAUAACCUGGUGACCUGGCCCGUUGAGGUGUCAGUCCCAAUAGCCAACCCAAACUGGGACCCCAGUGAUAACAAGAAUCAAGAGCGGCUUCAUCAUUAUAGGAAUAUGCUUCUCAGAGGUAUGAGGGAAGCAAGCCAGUCCCUGGUCAAUUGGGGAAAUCUCAGAGAAAUAGAACAAGGCCCUAAUGAAAAUCCAUCAGCAUUCCUAAAUUGAUAAUAAGAAUGCCUCCAGAAUUACACCCCUUGGGACCCAGAUGACCCAAAAGCUGAGUCUCACUUUAAUCUCACUUCAUCUCUCAGCCCCAGAUAUUCAGAGAAAACUCUAAAAAGUGGCAAUAAAUCCACAUACUCCCCCUUUCCAACUGGUAGACAUCUCCUUUAAGGUCUAUAGUAAAGAGAUGUGGCAUCUGAUGAAAAGGAAGACAAGAAGAUGCGGCAGCCCUACAGACUACUUCAGGAAGCCCAGGAAGAAGAUGGCAUGGGUGAGUGACCAGGGCCCCCACCAUGGAACUCAGGGCCUGCCUACACUGGGGCCCAAACAAUGUGCUUACUGGAAGCAGAAAGGAUGCUAGAAAAGGGAAUGUCCAAAUCAUCCCCAGAGAGGGAAGAAAGAGGACAAGCCCGAGGUACCUGUUCCCUGUAACUGGACAAGAAACUGACGGAUGGGGACAUGGGGCUCCCUGCCUGGCUCCUCAAAAUAAGAUCCACAUCUCCCCCAAGGAGCCCCAGGUUACACAGAAGAAGGGGGGCAACCAGUUGGAUUUUUUUUCGUUUGUUUGAGACAGGGUCUGUGUUACCCAGGCUGGAGUGCAGCACCAUGAUCAUGGCGCACUGCAGCCUCCAACUCCCAGGCUCAAGCAGUCCUCCCACCUUAGCCUCUCAAAUAGCUGGGACUAAGGCACACCUGGCUAAUUUUUUUGUUUGUUUGUGGAGACAAGGUCUCGUUAUGCUGUCAGGGCUGGUCUUGAACUCCUGGGCUCAAGUGAUCCUCCAACCUUGGCCUCCCAAAUUGUUGGCAUUACAGGCAUGAGCCACUGCACCCGGCCACCAGCUGAGUUUUUGAUCAACACUGUAGCCAUGUUUUCUGUGUUGAUCACUAAAAGUGGACCCUAUCCAGGAGUAAAUGUAUAUAAGGGAUGUGUCUCAUAAAGGAAAUAAAAGAUUCUUGGAGCCUCUGGUCCAUGAAAUAGUAUCUAAAACUUUGACUCAUUCUUUCUUCUGUUCCCCAAACGUCCCAUUCUCCUUUUGGGAAGGGACCUUCUGACUAAGUUUGGAGCCACAAUUUCUCUAAAUCAGGACAGAAUAGAGAUGUUCUGAGCCCACGGCACUGUCAUGCUGGCCCUAGUUCCUGGGGAAGUUCCAGACUUGGGGCCUCAUAUGACUCCUUGGCUAAUGCGGUACUAGAUAAUUGUAUAGCAUUAGACUGCCUCUUAGCAGAACAGGGAGGAGGAGAGUGUGCAGUUAUUAAUUCCUCUUGCUGUACCUGAUAAAUACCUCAGGGGAAAUAGGAAGUUAACAUUAGGAAGGUCCAUGCCGAAGCCUCUUGGUUCCACACUUUUAAUCAGCAGCCAUACUUUUUUUUUUUUUUUGAGACAGAGUCUCGCUCUGUUGCCCAGGUUGGAGUGCAGUGGGGCACGAUCUGGGCUCACUGCAACCUCUACCUCCUGGGUUCUAGCGAUUUUUCUACCUCACCUUCCUGAGUAGCUGGGACUACAGGUGCGCACCACCACACCUGCCUAAUUUUUGUAUUUUUAGUGGAGACGGGGUUUCACCAUGUUGCCCAGGCUGAUCUUGAAUUCAGGGUGAUCCGCCCGCCUCGGCCUCGCAAAGUGCUGGGAUUACAGGGGUGAGCCACCACACCAGGCCUAAUAGCCAUACUUCUAACUCUAUUUGAGAAGUUCUCAAAUUAGCAAUACCAAGUGUUACUUGGUUUCUUCCCCUAAUGAGGCCACUAAUUUUAUUGCUCUUACUACUGUUGUUUGGUCCCUGCAUCUUUAACCUCUUCGUAAAAUUUGUAUCUUCCAGAUUAGAAAAAUUUCAACUGUAGGUGCCUUUGCAACCUAUCCUGGGAGACCCUAAAACAUAUUUAGUUUUAGUGCCUAGAGAUUUUCACUCCUCUAACAUCUCUGGAUACAGUGUCCCUGGUCAACAUGAAGAAGUUACAGAAGAACACUUUCUGAUCCUGGCCCCUAAAGAAUUUACUUGUGCUAAGUAAUAAAAUUCCUAUUGAUC
rnacentral:sRNA from 1 species